rnacentral:rRNA from 1 species
CAGCAGUCGCGGCAACACAAGGAAGACAAGUGUUAUUCAUCUUAAAUCGGUUUAAAGGGUACCUAGACGGUGAAUUAGGCCUUAAAUGGAACGUUUUUACUAGAGUUAUAUAUGCAUGAGGACUGUGUGAGUAUUACCAGAGUAGAGAUGUAAUUUUUUGAUACUGUUAAGACUGGUAAAGGCAAAAGCAAACCUUUAUAUAUUAACUGACGUUGAGGGACGAAGGCUGUCGUUGAGGGACGAAGGCGUGGGGCGCAAACAGGAUUAGAUACCCCAGUAGUCCAGGCAGAGAAUUAUGAAUGUCAUAGAAUAGAUAUAAUAUUUAUCCUAUAAAUGAAAGUGUAAGCAUUCCACCUCAAGAGUAAUGUGGCACCGCAGGAACUGAAAUCAUUAGACCGUUUCUGAUACCAGUAGUGAAGUAUGUCGUUCAAUUUGUUAACCCUCAAAAAACCUUACCACAAUUUGAAUAUAUUUAAUAGAUAUAUAUUUUUAUAUCUUUAUUUAUACAAGCGUUGCAUUGUUGUCUUCAGUUAAUGUUGUGAGAUUUUGGUUAGAUUCAUUAAAUUAACGUAAUCCUAUAUUCUAUUUAAAUAUUAAUAGAUUAGUUCACCGCUAUAUUGGAUAUUGAUAACCGGGAGUAAGACUUGUCGUAAUGACCUUAAUAUUGUGGGCAAUGAGACGUGCCACA